rnacentral:lncRNA from 1 species
AGAGGAUGCAAAAAGGGAAGUUGCUGUUAUCCUGUUGUCUAAACUAAGCACUGUAGAAGGUCAUUUAAAGCUGUCCAUCUGAUUUCUGUUGCUGGAUCUGAAGGAAAGAGCCGAGAUGUGGACAUGUUGCCCUUAUUUACUGAACUUCCUCAUUCUUGGCAGUGACUUACACUCAGUUUCCAUCAGUAUGGGACAAUCAUUAACCAGUAAGUAACUCUUGGCUAUUUGGCAAAAUAUCCCAUUAAAGCAUAGUGGUACAGUGUGGCUGACAAAAGGGGUAUUUUGUGAGAAGUAAAAAUAUCCCUCUCCUUUGAGUAAAUAUUGCCUCAAUCCAGUACUCUGGCUUUGUAGCACACACUAUAGUGGUAGCUGAACUGUUCUAACAAACAAAGCUCUAACUGACCACCGAAGUUACCCUGGAACUCACAGGCAGUUAAUCAUCAAACUCCAGGAUACAUACAGGAGGUGGGGCCAAUCUGCAAACACUUCCCAAAUAUGUAAUUAGGUUUAAAUUUCUACAUGAUCAUGUCCAAAUAUUAAGUUAUUUAGCCUUAAAAUUCCUUGCCUCAUAUUUUAAGACUGAUUUUUAACUACAUUAAUGAUCUCUCUGUAAUCUAAAAUGCAGUCAUAACUACAAACCUCAGUUUACUAGAUAGAUAUUAUAUUGCUGUUUCCUUUUCUUUCAUUUUUUUUUUUUUUUUUUGUUUUUUGAAACAGGUUCUUACAGUGUAGCCCAGGCUGCUCUCCCACUUCCCCACAGUCCUCCUAGGUGCUAAAAUUUAUAUGUGAGCCACAACACCUGGUUUAUACUGCUGUCCCUCGACUUUUAAACCUUUGGCAGCUGAUUUCCUACCAUAGAAAAU